rnacentral:rRNA from 1 species
GGCCAACAUAAGCUCGUGAUUUGCAGAAGAUGUUUAAGGUAGUUUACCCAGGCUAGUUUUAAGGGGCCAGCAGCCACAUCAGAUCAAUCAGAUCAGAUGUUAUCAUAGGGCUCAGGACUAGUCUCAUGGGAAGCAAGGCAUCAGUAGUCUGAUGCCUAGUGUUUCCCAGUUAGUCCUUGUACAAUGGUGGGUGUUUAUGCCAGCUGCUUACAGAAAAAAAGACUAGCGUUGCCUCGCAAAUAAACGUGGUCUCGCAAUGUAGAGGCGCUAGUCAGAGGUGCUUCGGUUGUGUUAACGUUGGUGUAGCUCUCUCCAACGUUGGGAUGCUACACAACUAAAAUAACGCUCGCAGCCCAGAUCCUCCACUAAAAUAAUGCUCACUCGCUCAGCUCCCUCCUCACGCUAUCCUCUCAUCGCCUUCUAUAUCCCGACCACACACAAUACUCCCAAAAUCACGCCGACGGCAACUCCGUAACAGCACCGAUUUUGAAGCACACCUCCGCCCCCUUCCUCUGCCGCUCCCAUGGCGCGGCUUCCUCCUCAAGCUGCCCGGCGCUGCUUCGCCGGUGGCGCAGCCGCAGGAGUCCAACGGGCGGGGGUCCAGGCGGUGCUCGACGAUGCAGCCGGCGUUGGGGAGGAGUCGCGUCAGGUAACGCCAGAGGUGAAGGACCUAGUCCAGGUGAUUCUCGACGAGCCGUGUGCAUAGGGGAGCAGGAUAUGUCUUCUACCUGAGGUGUGGAGGGAAGACGAGAAGGGUGUGGAGGGCGAGGUCGCUGCCGGAGCUCUGCCGGACUGAGGUUGAUUUGGUGUUGCAUUUUCAGCUAGUAGCUCGAUUUGUGCAUCUGCGUCUGCCACAUGGAGAGGCUUCCCUUGCUGCUGUUGUUUCCCAACGUGUUCUGAUUCUUGAUCUUUGUUCGGCCUAAACAUCAAUAUUUAUUCUAUCCUAUUUGCUAUCCUUUCAGGUCUGGGGAUGGGGUUGUUGGAUGAAGGGAGGAGGAGCUGGCAAAGGGCUGCAGGUGGACAAGGAUAUAUGUAGAGGAGAAAACGGGCACACCUGAUGAUGAUGAUGUAGCACGUGAGAUUCAAGAAGAAACAAGGCCACCAGGGAGAAAUAUUGCGAAGGACAAAAGGAAUGGAAAAGGUAAAAUUCCAUCUGAAUUUUCUUCAGGUCUUCCUCAUGAUGACAUGCAAUUGUAUUAUGAUACAACUGUCUACGAGCCUCCACAAAAGAGAAGAUACACGAUGUCCAGCUUCAGGUCUGCAAGGAUAAACGUGUUGCAGCCGAAGCACGGGAGAGGACCGCAAUAAUAAGAAAAGAACAAGCCAGUAUGGAGAAGUACAUGGAACUGUUGAUGGCCAACAAGCUGUAAUGUCUGACUUUCAAAGGGCGGAACAUCAGAGGGGGCUAGAAUUUUUCCACGAUAAAGUGAUGGGUUCGGGAUACAGCAGCUGAGCCGUAGUCAUCAUUUCUUUUGUACUUUGUUUAGAUCAACAGAAAUAAUGUAAUUAGAUUUUUGUUUCAUUCUUCAUUUUUGUAAUAAAAACAUUGAAGAAUAAAGUCUCUGUUACUUUACCAUUACUUCUUGAGGAAUUUUUGGCAAUUUUUACUGUCUUGUGCACACAAACUUGUUGUGGAUCUCCCUGUACAUGCGUGCACUCCUACUCCCACUCACGUGCAGGUUCAGGAAGUAGUUGAGAUUUACUUUUUGAAGUAAUAAAGAGGUUGAGAUGUUGGAGGAGACGGCUAACAACCUAAAAAUACAAGAGAAACAACCAAACAAACUUACUAGACGUGAGAAACAGACUAACAACAUCUUAUCAGAUCCAUUCAUACGAACCCUCCUAAAUCUCAAACAGAGAUGUAUUCCUCCAGCGAUAGUGCAUCUGAUGACAACGUCUUCGAAGAUCCCAUUGUGCAGCAGAUGGAUGAGGAUUUCGAUGAGCGUUUUGCUCGCACAAUUGAUGCUCAAAUCAAAGCUCAAGUUUUGGGCCCCAGUCAGUGGCGGCGCCGGCGGCGCCGGUGCAACAGUAAAAGGAGGUACCUUGACCGAGGAUGUGUGGCAGGCAAUGCUCGUCUCAUUAAAGACUACUUCUCAGAAGUACCAACAUACACUGAAGCCAUGUUCCGUCACCAAUACUACUUUCUCUCUAGUUCUCAUCUCAACUGAACUUGUUGUGUUGGUUACUUAUCCUGAUUGGAUCAACACAGGAACCGAAUGAGAAAGCAUGUAUUUAGGCGCAUCGUUGAAGCUCUUGAAAAUUGGUCUCCUUUUUUCACGCAGAGAAGCGAUGUUGUAGGCCACAUAGGGUUCUCCCCUCUGCAAAAGUGCUCGGCG